GCGGCGGGACGACCCGCCGCCUUUGUCCGUUCUGGGGACGACCCC
rnacentral:ncRNA from 1 species